rnacentral:rRNA from 1 species
UACGUAGGUGGCAAGCGUUGUCCGGAAUUAUUGGGCGUAAAGCGCGCGCAGGCGGUCCUUUAAGUCUGAUGUGAAAGCCCACGGCUCAACCGUGGAGGGUCAUUGGAAACUGGGGGACUUGAGUGCAGAAGAGGAAAGCGGAAUUCCACGGUGUAGCGGUGAAAUGCGUAGAGAUGUGGAGGAACACCAGUGGCGAAGGCGCUUCUGGUCUGUAACUGACGCUGAGGCGCGAAAGCAUGGGGAGCGAACAGG